CUCAGUCAAUCACGAUGAAAUGCGAAACGCCCACAGGCGCCGGAAGGUUACGCUGGACCGCGGACGCUGUCGAGUGCGCGCAGGUGUCUGGCCACUUCGAGAGAGCAGUGUUCAUGCAGGAUUUGGUGAACCAGCAGCCCUUUCUUGGUGUCCAUCCGACUAGUUCAUUGAUGUGCUAGGCAGCCAUUAAGGCAAUCAAGGGGAGGUGACAACUGAAAGGUGAUUUCAGAGGAGGUGGGUAUUUUAAAAAGCUGUUUUCUGUACUACGCUCCAUGAAGGAGGUGUCAUGCAGCCCUAACACAAAGUAUAUUACAUAUGCAAUUUAAUCAUGAUUAAAUCAUGCAUUUUUAUACUGCGUCACAAUAUAAAUGUUUGUGUUAACCCAAUUAUUGAAAGGUUUUUUGUAAUACUUUUCUGUUCAAGGGCAAAGGGUUCAGUCUGUAAUGCGUUAAGGUGGUUGCCAUAUGAUAAUAUUUUGGCUUUUAAUCAUAUAAUCAAUGAAGAUCAAAAUUUGUGAAAAUUUCAACAGAGUCAUAGUUUUGUCUUGUACGCCAAGUUGUGCGUCUGACUUGGGGCAAGUUAAAGAUACGAAGUAGUCAGGACCCGAGUGGGACUGAAUUUCUGAUCGGGAGUUCGAGCCCCCGGACAGCCCAAUAAAGUAUCUAAACAAUCACACUAUUGUUUAUGUUUCUAUUCAGAUAUAAGUAACAUAGUGUUAAAGCGUGGCGCAGCUUUGACAGAAAUAAGGAAGUAUGUAUAAAAUAUAUGAUCUGUGCAAAUUUCAAAAUCGCUUGCAAAGAACAUUAAAGAUGCACACGGACAAUGUUUCCAUGUAAAUGCGCUGUGACAGUCUGCUAUUAAACCAACUUCCCAGUAGUAAGAAAGAUGUUUUCUUUUAUACACAAUGCAGUUUACUACACAGUGGCCCAUUCUGCAUAGAUAUACAUUCCGACAUAAAUCAUAUGUCAAAUACCAUUCACAUGUCUGAGUACGUACUUGUGCCCCCAUUAGGACAUCAGCUGAGUAGGCAGCCCUUUAGUGUGGCCCGGGACACAAUCGCGUUCGCGCUGCUAUAAGAAUGUGCCCAUAUGCAUCUCAGACCACCUCCGGAUGUGGUUUGUGUGAUCGGAUCCCGAGGUGCUGCUCCUGUGCAUUUUGGGUGCUUUCACUAAUUACCAUUACUAUCAUCAGCUUCAUUACUGGCGGCCGCACAAGCUGGGAUUUGUGUCACGAAGUAAUAUUACCAGUAAUAUCACAAAAUAAUAUAGUGAAAUUCUACAUCAUCUAACAUUUUGUUAGAUGCAACAAAGAGCAUGGUGCUUAAAAAGGCUCACACAUCCAGGGGAGGGAAUUGGACCCACACCCCUGGAGAGCAGCUUCCAGUAAUUUUGCAUACUUCAAGAAGCAAAGUGAGAUUAUCAAGGGGUCAAAACUAAAUCUGCACUGCAGUAUACAAUUAACCACUGAGGUAUUUUCUAAACUAUCUUGCAUCCCUGUGCUCAGUGUUUAAUAGUCAGUUUGAUAUUAUGGUAAAGGUAUCCAGUUGUAUGCACUGGUUUGUUUCACGUACAAAUUUUCAAGCCAGAGUUGAAUGUGUUUUUCUCUUGUUCUGUGUGCUAACAUCCCUCAGCAUUCUGUUACUGGUAAUGUACAGUCCUCUUCCUGUCUGGUUGGGUGGUUCUGCAAAUGGUGACGUGCAAGGCAUUCUGGGAUAUCCUGAAGGGGGCGAUGGCACGCAAAAUGAAAACAGUACAGCUCACAUGAAAGCAGAUACAGCAAAGCAAAAGUACUUUGGGGAAUACUUGUUCAGAAUCGCUGUAGGCUGAGAUUUGCCCAUAUGAAUGGAAAACCAUGAACUAAACACACUUGCUCUGGAGAGACAUGCCGUCUGACUCGGAGAGCAACUCAUACUUACCUGGCAGGGGAGAUACCAUGAUCAAGAAGGUGGUUCACCCAGGGCGAGGCUCAGCCAUUGCACUCCGGUUGUGCUGACCCCUGCGAAUUCCCCAAAUGUGGGAAUCUCGACUGCAUAAUUUCUGGUAGUGGGGGACUGCGUUCGCGCUCUCCCCUGA